rnacentral:misc_RNA from 1 species
CAUUCAGUAGCCUCGCUACUUGUUUAUACCCUUGUUUUUUGCGCACUAUUGUUUCCUCGGCGGGCUUGCCUGCCGGUUGGACAAAACUAUAACCUUUUUGAAAUCUUCAAUCAGCGUCUGAAUUAUACAUAAUAAUUA